rnacentral:rRNA from 1 species
GAUGAACGCUGGCGGCGUGCCUAAUACAUGCAAGUCGAGCGAAUGGAUUAAGAGCUUGCUCUUAUGAAGUUAGCGGCGGACGGGUGAGUAACACGUGGGUACCCUGCCCAUAAGACUGGGAUAACUCCGGGAAACCGGGGCUAAUACCGGAUAACAUUUUGAACCGCAUGGUUCGAAAUUGAAAGGCGGCUUCGGCUGUCACUUAUAGAUGGACCGGCGUCGCAUUAGCUAGUUGGUGAGGUAACGGCUCACCAAGGCAACGAUGCGUAGCCGACCUGGGAGGGUGAUCGGCCACACUGGGACUGAGACACGGCCCAGACUCCUACGGGAGGCAGCAGUAGGGAAUCUUCCGCAAUGGACGAAAGUCUGACGGAGCAACGCCGCGUGAGUGAUGAAGGCUUUCGGGUCGUAAAACUCUGUUGUUAGGGAAGAACAAGUGCUAGUUGAAUAAGCUGGCACCUUGACGGUACCUAACCAGAAAGCCACGGCUAACUACGUGCCAGCCGCCGCGGUAA